CUCCCACCCUCUCUUUUAUAUUGAAGGCUCCCUCAAUUCCCACUCACCCCUCUCCACAAUAGUGAGUGAGAGAGAGAGAGAGAGAGAGAUUACAUGAGCGAAUUGGGUUGGUUUCAUAUGCUGCAAUUAAGUACUAGAGGAGGCAUCCAAAGGGAUCGCAUUGAUCCUAAGCUAGCAAAGCCUUCUUGAUCAUAUCGAUCCCUAAAUAGUUUCGGAUCAUGCUAUCCCUUUGGAUUUCUCCUUUGGAAGCUUCAAACUUCUAUGUCAUGCAUCGAGCUAGAACUACAUAUAUCCAAGGAGUUGACCCAACUCUCUAUGAUCCAAUUGACUGUUGUUCCGGGUUUGAUCUUUCAACAAUUUCUGAGUUAAUUAAAUUCGGGUUAGGGAGAGAUCGAUGAGGACAGACCUACAAGAGAUAUAUGGAUGACGAGAGGCGGAUGGGGAUCUAGAGAUGUGCAUCACCGGUGACCUUGGUUGGCUCCGAUUAUGAGAUGGGAUGGAGAUGGGAGGAUAGAGGGUGGAAGCUGUCGGUGGUUAUGUGAUAGGCAUGAUUGAUCUUUUAACAAUUUCUGAGUUACCUUAGGGUUAGGAUCGGCCUUAAAGUAGACUUGCAUGCAUUUGUUUCUUUCACAUCCUGGAUGUGAAAUCAACGAUUUUCACAUAAAUGAGAAGAGAGAUUUUGAAUUCAGAUCGAGUCUCAUCAACCCAGAAAGCAAGAAGAGUUCUAAUCAAACAACAGUUAGUUGGCAACUCACGCAUAUGAGCUCUAAGAGAAACUAUGUAGUUACUUUUUGACUAAAUGUAGUGGUGGAGACUAUAAGCUAGUUGUGCAUUAUUAAAUCUAUAUGUGUUAACGUUGAAUUUGUCAAUAGUGUAUAAAGCAUAAAGGAAAUCCUUGGUUUCAGAAGCUUCCCAGAUCUAUGCAAAGUUUGAAAAUAAUCAGUAAAAUUUUCGACUUUCCAGUAGAAUAAUGCUUAGUCUACACUGAUUAUUGCAUGUUUUUGUAUGUUCAUCAUCAUAGCUAAAUAGUAAGAGUCUAAUUUCAAAACGAAUAAAAAUUGAAUUUGCACAUCACCUAUAGCCAUUAUCAAUAUGGGGUCCAAGUUAAAGAAUUGUUGGACACCAAAGUGUACAAAUUAUCUUUCAACUGUAAAAUUAUGUACCCCUAAUGUCUCCCUCUUGCCCUACACGAACUUUGCAAAGGACACAUAAACUGCCAAAAUGAAACCCACACAUAUCAAAUAUUUUCAAGCUCAUGAGGAAUUGGAUGCUCCUUGCCCACAAACUAAGGGGACCUAACUUCUUGACUUGUCUCCAAAUUCAAACCCCCCCCCCCACUCCUAUUUUGUUGUCUAAUUUUCUCUUUAAUACCGCACUUUGUGAGACUCGACUGUCAGCCAUGUAUUUGAGAUUCCAGAGGAUUUGAUUUUCUUUCUUUGCCUCAAUGUUUGGGGGAUUCGGUUGAGAGAUCGAUGUGCAUAAAAUUGACCAUCAUCUUAAGACCUAAGUCUAUUUUUUUUGGAUGAGAGAAAAGAUACAGAGAAAACCCUACAAACAAAAGCUCUUAGGACAGCCCUGCCCCUGUUGAUCUUAAUGGAAAGCGAUAGAGGGAGAUCGGUGGAGGACAUGACUCAGUUUCUUUCAGAGAAACAAGAGUGACCAAGAGCAGCAAUGUGAUUUGCUACAAUUCCAUCACUUGUAUCAUAUAUUCACUUCUAAUAUUAUUCACCAAUUUUGGAUUGAACUGUGUUGAUUGUAGAUCAUCUGAGCUUCAGAUUAUUAUUCGAUUUUUAAUUUUUUGGUAUAAUUUAUAAAUUAAAUCGUUCAGAAAAAAAUUUAACAUCAUAGUAUUGAUAUUUUAUGAGGGCUUCCAGCUUCCUUACGUCGCUCGUCCGGCAGUGGCUCGUGAACACCGACGACGGAGGCGGCGCAGACUGGGUGGUUCUAUGCGGUGGCCGGUGGCGGUAACAAAUGCUUCAUUGAUGGGGUCAAGUAGCAGCGUGGAUGCAGGGGAUCCUAACCCGAUUUUGGUUUUUUGGGUCUGGAUGCUCUUUUCAGGUCGUUGUUUUGUCCUCAAGUCGGUGGAGGCUGCGUGGCAAGUCAUGGCUGCGGGUCGUGGCGGUGGAGGUUGCACGGUGAGUGAGUCGUGGAGGCGGUGUGAGACAGGUUGCACAGUGUGGAGAUUGGAAUGAAGCCUUUGGGCCUUGGGCCUCUAAUUUAGUUUACUCUGUUUUUUCUAAUAUUUCCUUACUUAUCUAGGGGAGAUAUGCUUGUUAGUUCUUAAGGAGCGCUAAGAGAAAAAUUCAGCUACCGUCCCCAAACUAUUCUGUCAAGGUCAAUUUGAUACCCGAACUCUCAAAAGUA